GCAUUAAUGGGGUAGUGGUAACCUGGGUCGUUGCCAUGAACGUGAAGUUCGACCCGCCGGGAGUUCGAUUCUCUCUUAAUGCA